CAAUACCACAGAGCUAAUACUACAUAGAAACCUGAAUCUGAAAUAUUUUGUCUCAUAUAGUGUUUUAUUUACUUCUUCUGAUCACAUGUGGUAGGCAGUGAUCUUAUAUUUUUUUAGGACUCUACUGAUUUCAAAGUGCUUUACAUUCUUGAGGAUCAGUUGUUAAUUGCCUCUUAUUUUCUUGAACAGACUGAAGCCCAGAUUAUCUCCCCCUGGCAGUGAGGUAGCAGUAGAGAAGGAACCAGAAGGAUGGGCCUGCUUGGUGCAUACCGCCCUGAUUAGGUCUGCCUGAAUCCCCAGAGCAGUUCAUGUAGAAGCACCUCCCCCAAAGGUGUUUAAAGCCAUAGCAUUGCACACAGUGCAGAUUAGAAGUAAAUAAAUGCAUUACCUCAUGAGAAUGAGGUAAUGUGAAGAGGUGAAGUGAUGUUCAUUAACAUGAUUUAUUUGUGCUUACAAAUCUUUCAUAUGCAUUGUGUAAGAUAAAGAAUAAACAGAUGAAAUGGUUAAUUCCAUGCUACAUGAAUUUCACCAUGAUUCUAAAAACUAGCAGAGUUACCAAAUAUAUCCAUCUUUAGGCAUAAGGAGAGAGGGGUACAAAGAAGGCUAAGGCUUGUCAAAAAUGGAGUGUAGGCUGGCUCAGCCUGUAAUCCCAGUGCCCUGGGAGGCUGAAGUGGCUGGAUUGCUUGAGUUUAAGAGUUUGAAACUAGCAUGAGCAAGAGUGAGACCCCAUUUCUUAAAAAAAAAAAAAAAAAAAAGCUAUGGCGGUGCCUAUGGCUCAAAGGGGUAGGGUGCCAGCUCCCUAUGCCGGAGGUGGUGGGUUCAAACCCACCGCUGGCCAAAAACUGCAAAAAAAAAAAAAAAAUAGCUGGGUGUUGUGGCAGGCACCUGUAGUCCCAGCUACCUACAAAGCUGAGGCAAUAGAGGAUCUCUUGAACCCAGGAGUUUGAGGUUGCUGUGAGCUAUGAUGCUAUGGCACUUUACUGAGGGUGACUUCCUGGGAGAAUGGGGACUGAAGACCCCAUUCUUGGCAAGGGAAAGCUCCCCCAGAAAAAGAAGAAAAUUAAAAAGUAGGUUGAGUGAGUCGGAACAAAGUCAGCUAGUUUACAUUUAAGCUAACUAUUGCUAGCAAGCUUCCUUCCUUUUCUGAAAUUCUAGCCUGUUGGGGAUACAGCUUAUAAACACCUCCCCCCCCCCCAUCUGUGAGCACUCUGAGGAAAAAUGGUCAUAGAAGAGGCUAUGGCAAAGACUUAGAAAGAUACAUUAACUGGGUGGUCUCCUGCCUAGUAAAGAGGCAAAGCGGAUACCCAUUGUGGAGAUUUGCGUUUGCCUGGGGCAGAGAUCAAGGGAAUAGCUGGAGCCCUGAGAUAUGGGCAAAAGAGCUUAUAUUCCUUAUGGUGGUGAUGGGAGGAAAAUUCCUCCCUCCCACCAGUUCCUCAGAGGAGUUUAAUGCCAUCCUAGAAAUCUGUGUGUGUGAUCUCCAGCGGGAGCCUCUCCCAAUAUAAGGCUCAGAUUUCUCAAGGCUAGUCAAACCCUUAAAUAAUAACAAUAGGAGCUGAUACACUCACUUAGAAACUGCUGGUAUCUUUGUUCCCUCCCUCAUCUUACCCUCUGGGCAAAUAGACUUUGAUAAAAGCAGAGUGAAACAAAGGGGCAGUGGCUCCCUGAGCUCCCACUGUUAAUUCUACUCUAUGUCUCAUGUCUGUUCCUUUGCCUUGUUUCUAACUUUAUUGCAGUUUGGCUGGGGCCGGGUUUGAACCUACCACCCACUGAGCCACAGGCACUGCCCUAAAUGAGACUGUCUUAAAAAAAAAAAGGACUCUAAGCUUGUCUGAUAAGGGAAAAUGGUAGUUUGUCAUCUAGAGUUCUGGGUGACAAUUUGUCUGUUUUCAUGACAGAUAUAAGACCUUUACAGAUUGUGAGCUGUGUUGGAGCUCAGAAAACAGUACCCCAAAAUGAAGGCCUCAGAAACAAAGGUUUUUCUCUGAAGUCUCUUGUUCGCCAGCCCCUCAGUCCCAUUCUUCCUUGAGAUUAACCACAGAAACUAGGAUUGCUCUUACCUCAGGGCAGGUUGUAAAAGCCAGAACCUUUUUCCCUACUGCCAGCCAUAAAACCCCAAAUUAUUCCUUAUAAAAACUAGCCGUAAAAAGUUAUCUGACCUACCUUGUUUCACUGUGGGUCGUGAGACUUCCAGAGAGGGCCCUGCCCAACACCCAAAGAAGGAGGCUGCUCAGAGAGGUCAAAAAGGAUCAUUUGUGAUUUCUGGAAAUGGAUCGUGGUGAUGGUUGCACAACAAUGCAAAUCUGUCUAGAUUCUAGAUAGACAGGCCUAGCUGGACUUCCCCACUCAGUCUGUUAGCAUUAGAGCAUACCCUUUUUGUCCAGUCAUAUUUCUUUUUUUUUUUAAUUUAUUUAAUUUUUUUUUUUGAGACAGAGUCUUGCCAUGGUGUCACAGCUCACAGCAACCUCCAAAUCCUUGGACUUAGGUGAUUCUCUUGCCUCAGCCUCCCGAGUAGCUGGGACUACAGGCGCCCGCCAAGACGCCCGGCUAUUUUUUUGUUGCAGUUUGGCUGGGGCUGGGUUGAACCUACCACCCUUGGUAUAUGGGGCCAGCAUCUUACCCACUGAACCACAGGCACCACCCUUUGUCCUGUCAUAUUUCUACAAGGCUGUCCAUGCGUUAUUGAACCGGAACAUAAAAUGAACAAUUUCCGGCUUGGUGCUAUAGCUCAGUGGCUAGGGCACCAGCCACAUACACUGGGGCUGAUGGGUUUGAACCCAGCUGGGGCCUGCUAAACAACAAUGACAACUACAACUACAAAAUUGUGGCGGGUGCCUAUAUUCCCAGCUACUUGGGAGGCUGAGGCAAGACAAUUGCCUAAGCCCAAGAGCUGGAGGUUGCUUUGAGCUGUGACGCGACAGCACUCUACCAAGGGCGACACAGUGAGACUCUGUCUCUAAAACAACAACAAAAAAUAGCCGGGUGUUGACUUCCGCCCCGCCAACUGAUACAGCGCCUGCGCCCUGCGUUUCUUCCUUUCUGGGCUUGGGCCUGGUUCGUGGAGACAUGGCUAAACGCACCAAGAAGGUUGGGAUUGUACGGAACCCACUAUGGUGCCUCCCUCCGGAAAAUGGUGAAGAAGAGAGAAAUCAGCCAGCACGCCAAGUGCUGCUCCUUCUGUGGCAAAACCAAGAUGAAGAGACGAGCUGUGGGGAUCUGGCACUGUGGUUCCUGCAUGAAAACAGUAGCUGGUGGUGCCUGGACCUACAACACCACUUCUGCUGUUACAGUAAAGUCUGUGAUUAGAAGACUGAAGGAACUGAAAGACCAAUAGAAGCUCUAACCUUUUCAGACAACACAAGCUACUAAUAAAUGGGUUAAUUUAUGUAAAAAAAAAAAAAAAAAAUA